rnacentral:rRNA from 1 species
AACGAACGCUGGCGGCAGGCUUAACACAUGCAAGUCGAACGCAUCCUUCGGGGUGAGUGGCAGACGGGUGAGUAACGCGUGGGAACGUGCCCUUCAGUUCGGGAUAAUCCAGGGAAACUUGGGCUAAUACCGGAUACGUGCGAGAGCAGAAAGAUUUAUCGCUGAAGGAUCGGCCCGCGUCUGAUUAGCUAGUUGGUGGGGUAAUGGCCCACCAAGGCGACGAUCAGUAGCUGGUCUGAGAGGAUGAUCAGCCACAUUGGGAAUGAGACACGGCCCAAACGCCUACGGGAGGCAGCAGUGGGGAAUAUUGGACGAUGGGCGCAAGCCUGUUCCAGCCAUGCCGCGUAAGUGAUGAAGGCCUUAGGGUUGUAAAGCUCUUUCGUCCGGAACGAUAAUGACGGUACCGGAAGAAGAAGCCCCGGCUAACUUCGUGCCAGCCGCCGCGGUAA